CUCCACGCAGCGACUGCAAUAAGCAUUGUUGCCUCUCACUAGCGCCUCCUUCCGCAGUGUGACAGAAACAGAGCAACACUACCUUCCAUCCACGCUGUCGCAGCCAUCGCAGCGGUGAGCCCUUGGCGAUGCUGCCCUAGCCGCACCACCAUCGCUACCUCCAAGCCCUCAGCAAUAGCGAUCCCUCUACGCAGCGACCGCAACAAGCAUCGCUGCCUCCCACGCGGCGACCACAGCUACAUCCCCGCAUCCUCGCAGCAACCCUUCAUUCCCAUAGUGUUGCCACCAAUUGCAUCACAACAGCA
rnacentral:lncRNA from 1 species